AUGUCUGAGAAUUUGGUCAUUGUCCCGGCCAGCAGCUGGGAGUCUAACACCUAUCGAUGCACCAUAGAGCACCAGCCCACCAGCUCCAGCAUCUCCGAGGAAAUCCCAAGCAGGGAAGGUGCGGCGCAGCCCGGGUGGAGGGAUGAAAAGAGACACCAGGCCAAGAGAAGCGAUGGGCGCUGCAAUGCAGAGAAAGGGGCAGANUUCACCGCCUCCAGCUCCAUGCCCAUCUUCACCCGCGACUGGGAGGCCGGAGAGACCUUCACCUGCAAAGUGGAGCACUCGGACCUGAUCUCGCCCCUCAUCAAAUCGAUCUCCAAGAAGCCAGGCAAGCACUCCGCCCCGGGCGUCUACCUCCUGCACCCCCACAGAGAAGAGCUGAACGGCAAAGGAGACUCUGUCAGCCUCACCUGCCUGGUGCAGGGCUUCUUCCCCGAGGACAUCUCGCUGCAGUGGAUGAAGAACCAUGAAGAUGAAAAGGAGACCGAGUACAUCACCACCCCACCCAUCAAGGAUGGAGCCGACGACUCGAACUUCUUCCUCUACAGCAAGCUGAAAGUCAGCAAGGACAGCUGGAACAGAGGGGACACCUACACCUGCAUGGUCAUCCACGAAGCCCUGAAGAUGAAGUUCACCCAACGCAGCGACAGCAAAGUCUCUGGUAAAUGAAGAAGGCUCCUCCCAGCCCCACUGCUACCACUGUCCAGUACAGCUU